rnacentral:rRNA from 1 species
UUUUAUAUGAGAGUUUGAUCCUGGCUCAGGAUGAACGCCGGCGGUGUGCCUAAUACAUGCAAGUCGUACGCACUGGC